CAGGCAGGUCCAGCGGCUGAGGCGGAGGCCGAAGCGGGCGGCAGCGCGGAUCGCUUGGACGCCUUUUUCUCUUUCAUCCAGGGUAUGGAGAACAAUCGGUCGCCGGUGCUGAGCCAUUGUUUAUCAGGAUCUUCCUCAGCAACCUUGCUUCGAGGGGAAGAGUCACAUAGGCAGCAGCCCUGGCGCUUCAUGACUUCCCUCUCCAGUUGGCUUCCCGGGAUUGGACCGUAACACAUAACCCUAGGAGAACCUCUCUGGGCGAGCCAAAUCUCGAGGCUGCAAACGCGUCUGGCUGUUGCCUCUUAAAAAAA